rnacentral:lncRNA from 1 species
UAAUGCAGUGACAUUAUAUCCAACUUGGUAGAACGCGAUUCAUAUUCGAUUCAGGCUGUUACAUGAAUAGCAAAGCACGAUGGCAGCACCCACCCAGUCCACUACUGGUUACACAAUAUAUAUUCCACAGAUUGAAGGAAAUAUAGUCCAUUGAUUCCAUCAUUAGAAUCUCUCAAAGAUAUAGGAGGAACUAAGCACUAAUAACAGUAAUGGUUUGGUUAAUUACAUCACUUUGAGCAUGUCAUAGAAAUGAUGUCGGUGAUGAUGUAGUAUAUGCGGCUACACAUCAAGUAUAUUUGUUGUUGAGUUGUUGAGGUGCUCACAACCCAACUAAAAAUGAUGUCGUGAGUUGGGCUUGGACCAUCAAUGUGGUUAUGGUGAUGCUGUCCACGGCGCUGCCAUGAAGUACCUGAUCGACAAAAUAAAAAGAACCAGUUCCUUGUAUUAGGAUAGAAACAUGAGCACAAUAAAAAAUAGAACUUAAUAAGUAUCUGAUCAUAAUUUCAAAACCAUCAUCAUCCCUAGAAGUAGAAAAGGUCGGAGAGGUCGCCUAUGUAUAAAAAUUUGGCAAGUUAAAGGUUUCAGGCCUAAAUAAGCAUCAGCUAAUCGUUGAUAUUUUGAAAAAAAUUGCAUCUUACAUUAAUUAAACAUCACAGUAAAGCAAAAGGUCACAUAUGACACAGUUUGAUGUAUGGAAAUCAUGUAAGAAUCACUACGGAGUACUUCACAGCAGAAAGUAGUGGCAUCACGGGUUCAAAAAAGAGCACAUUUUCUUAGUCCAAAUGAAUCCAUUGGUGAGAUAGGAAGAAAGCAGAGGAGCAUUGCAUCUAGGAGACAGUGCUAACAACCCAGUGAAAUAAAUCAUGCUUAAUGCACAAGCAGUACUUGGUUCGGCUGCAAUCUACUCGUAUGAUUUCUGUACUAUUCUCAUGUUACCCAAAGAAAGAGGGGGGAGGGAUUAGAAGAGACUCAAUCCCUAGGGGAUUGGGUGGGUCGUGCUGUCUCUGGUAUGCUGAGAGAGAGAGAGAGAGAGAGAGAGAGAGAGAGAGAGAGAGAGAGAGAGAGAGAGAGAGAGAGAGCAGCCUGAGCGGAGGCCGCAGGUCGCCUACGCGACGGAAGAUGAGCAGGGGAAGAUGGAGGGAGCCGCCGCCGUCGGGGCUCCGGCGGGACUGGAUGGAGGGGAGGGCAAGGAAGGAGUAGGAGAGUAACCUAUCAAGUGCUUUCUCUGAAUAAAAACCACUAUUGUGUUUUCUGCAUCAUAUUGUACGGCACUGAACCAAGCAACUGGAAUUGACAAUGUAAUGAGCCAUUGCCCUUUUAGUAAGGUAAAUAUCAUCCCUAUGACUAUAACCAAUAGCAGGCACCAAAGUAAACAUCUAUGAAGGACUGUACACACACUAAGAAAGGCACUAAGAAAGGCACUAAGAAAUUGCUAAUACAAAAACCAAAAUACUGAUCCGACCUUGAUCUCUAAUUACAAUUGCAGCACACAUUUGACAAUAUAUUUCUAUCAAGGAUUAUCUUUGUUUUGCAUAAUAAAGUAAUUCUACACUUGGAAUGUGUUGAUACAU